GGGUACGGGUUGUGAGAGCAAGAGCCCGGAGAUGGAUUCUGAGACACGAAUCCAGGCCCUACGGGGUGCAGCAGGCGCGAAAACUUUACAAUGCUGGCAACAGCGAUAAGGGAACCUCGAGUGCCAGGUUACAAAUAUGGCUGUCGAGAUGCCUAAAAAGCAUUUCAUAGCAAGGGCCGGGCAAGACCGGUGCCAGCCGCCGCGGUAACACCGGCGGCUCGAGUGGUAACCGUUAUUAUUGGGUCUAAAGGGUCUGUAGCCGGCCGGAUAAGUCUCUUGAGAAAUCUGGCAGCUUAACUGUCAGGCUUUCAGGAGAUACUGUCUGGCUCGAGGCCGGGAGAGGUGAGAGGUACUUCAGGGGUAGGGGUGAAAUCUUGUAAUCCUUGAAGGACCACCAGUGGCGAAGGCGUCUCACCAGAACGGACCUGACGGCAAGGGACGAAAGCUAGG
rnacentral:rRNA from 1 species